CUGAAGGUCCAUUAUAGGAAGUGCUCAAUUACACUUCCUACAACACCAUCUAGUGCUCUGCACAUGCAUCUAGCACUAGGAAGUGUAAUUGAGCCUAGAGACUGCAUUGACAAGGUGUACAGUGAAAACAGAGUUACAUUUUGGUCUGUUCUCACCCAAAACCAACUGGAUCUCUUCAGAAGACAUUGAUUAAACCACUGGAGUCUGAUGGAUUAUGUUUAUACUGCCUCUAUCUUCAUUUUUGGAGCUUCAAAGGCCUGAUCACCAUUCACUUGCACUGCAUGGACCUACAGAGCUGAGAUAUUCUUCUGAAAACCUUCGUUUGUGUCAUACACAUCAAGGAUGGUAUGAGAGUCAAUGAUGAGAGAAUUUUCAUUUUUGGGUGAACUAUUCCUUUAACUAUCUUAACAAGCAAGCAUCCCUUGGACAGCCAGCUCCAGAAGAAGCCAUUUUAGCUGGUGAACAACAUAGCUACAAUGGUCCAGCAGACUAGCAUUAACCAGCAAAUAUCAGCUUGGACAAGCAUGUACAAUUAUUUUGGUCAAAGCUAGUCUUUUCCGCAGGGUUGAAACAAAGGAAAUUGUGGGACUUUUAUCUGCACCAUGAGACAAAGUCCUUCAUCAGCUUAUUUUACACCAACUAAUUUUCACUGAUAACAGUUUGAAUAGCCAUUUAGCAGAUGCUCACAGUACACAUUACAGGGGAAAUCCCCCUGGUAAAACACGGCAAGGGUUUAAGUGUCUUGCUCAAGGACACAAUGGUGAUAACUCAUGGAGCAUCACUUGGUUUGAAUCUGCAACCUUUCAGUUUACAGCCCAGCUCUGUAACCAAUAAGCCACACCAACUUAAAUGCAGUCUAAAAUGGACAACUCAUCAGAAAACUGGAUGACUGUUAAAGGUGCAGUACCUCCACACAGUAGACAGAUGGCACUGAGAAGCCCAGUCUCUGCAUCAUCCAUCUCCAGAGGCAGGAGCUGGUUGGCGAAAGCGAAUACAAGAUCUGUAAGUGGACCGAAGCCAGCGUUGUGCAUCUGGGUGCGGUUCAGUGUCAGACCAUCUGAAAAUGUCAUGGUGUCCUGAUCAGGAAUCAAUCUUUUUCCACUCUCCAUCCCCUCCCAACUGCAAACUGGCUGGGAUAUUGCUCCUGCCAGCACAGCGCGGUUCAUGGGAAACAAUAAAAUGGCACAUGCAUUUCCUCAGUUAGGGCUUCCACACUGCAGCUCCAAAAGAGGCUCAUCAAGUUGCCGGUAACACUUUUGGCUCACCGCGCGUGCUGUGCAUGGGAAGUUUGGGAUGUGCACGGACUGACGCUCGCAACAUGAUGAUGGAUCUCUGACUGUCGACGGAGGAUUUUCUCCUCAAGUUAAAAGAACAUGGAAGACACUGAAGAAUCACAUAAAUUCAGAGUUAUGUGAUGAAAUUGACCGAAUCCAUUCAUCAGCUGUCCAGUGCUUCAAGGAGGGCUUCACUAGUAUUGUGCAUGAGCCUGCACCAAGAAAAAUCUUUUUGGCCAAAAUAUACAUUGAAGAAAGAGAGGAGAAGUUUGCAAAAGAUCUUCCAUGUAUUUACUGUGGCAUUACUGUGGAUUAUAUGAGUAGUAAAUAUUCUCAAACAAAUGUUUUUGUUUUGUCAAAACGAUGUAAUACUGUAAGUUUUGUCAUAGCAAAUUAAGUAAAGCUUGGAAAGUUGUUUUUGCAAAUGUUGCAUGGUUUUAAUAC